CUCCAGCUAGUGUAAUGGUAACACGCGGGAUUGACACACACGGGCGCCUAGAAAGCUGAAGUGUGCCUUCGGGGGCACGAAAUCCAGGUUCGAGUCCUGGGCUGGACA